UACGUAGGGAGCAAGCGUUGUCCGGAAUCAUUGGGCGUAAAGCGCGCGUAGGUGGCCCUGUAAGUCCGUUGUGAAAGUCAAAGGCUCAACCUUUGAAAGCCGAUGGAUACUGCAGGGCUAGAGUACGGAAGAGGCGAGUGGAAUUCCUGGUGUAGCGGUGGAAUGCGCAGAUAUCAGGAGGAACACCAAUAGCGAAGGCAGUUCGCUGGGACGUUACUGACACUGAGGCGCGAAAGCCAGGGGAGCGAACGGG
rnacentral:rRNA from 1 species